AUUGAACGCUGGCGGCAGGCCUAACACAUGCAAGUCGGACGGUAGCACAGAGAGCUUGCUCUUGGGUGACGAGUGGCGGACGGGUGAGUAAUGUCUGGGGAUCUGCCCGAUAGAGGGGGAUAACCACUGGAAACGGUGGCUAAUACCGCAUAACGUCGCAAGACCAAAGAGUGGGACCUUCGGGCCUCUCACUAUCGGAUGAACCCAGAUGGGAUUAGCUAGUAGGCGGGGUAAUGGCCCACCUAGGCGACGAUCCCUAGCUGGUCUGAGAGGAUGACCAGCCACACUGGAACUGAGACACGGUCCAGACUCCUACGGGAGGCAGCAGUGGGGAAUAUUGCACAAUGGGCGCAAGCCUGAUGCAGCCAUGCCGCGUGUAUGAAGAAGGCCUUCGGGUUGUAAAGUACUUUCAGCGGGGAGGAAGGCGACGCGGUUAAUAACCGCGUCGAUUGACGUUACCCGCAGAAGAAGCACCGGCUAACUCCGUGCCAGCCGCCGCGGUAA
rnacentral:rRNA from 1 species